rnacentral:rRNA from 1 species
AGCGAACGCUGGCGGCAGGCUUAACACAUGCAAGUCGAACGCCCCGCAAGGGGAGUGGCAGACGGGUGAGUAACACGUGGGAACGUACCCUUUGGUUCGGAAUAACUUGGGGAAACUCAAGCUAAUACCGGAUAAGCUCUUAUGGGGAAAGGUUUACUGCCGAAGGAUCGACCCGCGUCUGAUUAGCUAGUUGGUGAUGUAAUGGCUCACCAAGGCGACGAUCAGUAGCUGGUCUGAGAGGAUGCUCAGCCACACUGGGACUGAGACACGGCCCAGACUCCUACGGGAGGCAGCAGUGGGGAAUAUUGGACAAUGGGGGCAACCCUGAUCCAGCCAUGCCGCGUGAGUGAUGAAGGCCUUAGGGUUGUAAAGCUCUUUUACCCGGGACGAUAAUGACUGUACCGGGAGAAUAAGCCCCGGCUAACUUCGUGCCAGCCGCCGCCGUAA